rnacentral:rRNA from 1 species
AGGGAAUCUUCCGCAAUGGACGAAAGUCUGACGGAGCAACGCCGCGUGAGUGAUGAAGGUUUUCGGAUCGUAAAACUCUGUUGUCGGGGAAGAACAAGUAUGAUAGUAACUGAUCGUACCUUGACGGUACCCGACCAGAAAGCCACGGCUAACUACGUGCCAGCAGCCGCGGUAAUACGUAGGUGGCAAGCGUUGUCCGGAAUUAUUGGGCGUAAAGCGCUCGCAGGCGGUUCUUUAAGUCUGAUGUGAAAUCUUGCGGCUCAACCGUAAACGUGCAUUGGAAACUGGAGGACUUGAGUGCAGAAGAGGAGAGUGGAAUUCCACGUGUAGCGGUGAAAUGCGUAGAGAUGUGGAGGAACACCAGUGGCGAAGGCGACUCUCUGGUCUGUAACUGACGCUGAGGAGCGAAAGCGUGGGGAGCGAAC